rnacentral:lncRNA from 1 species
GCUGUUUAAAGUUUGCUGAGGAUGAGCUGGUUUGGGGUGGGCUAUUUUGGCUCCCAGGUGAUGAGGUUGAUGGAAUCCAACAGGACAACGCUCUGCUGACUCCAUCUUGCCCAAUGUCUACCAGCCACUCAUUUCCUCUUCCCCCCGACCCCGACUCGUCCUCUUCUGAAGGGUCAAAAUGACUUUAUUUUCCUUGGAGGACCCCGCUUUCUUCAAGGGCUACUGUUUUCCUCAACCAGCGGAGAGAUCAUUUCAGGGAAAUCAUCACGACGGAAGAACAUCUUCAGAGGUGGAAGUUCACACUGGUACUGCAGGCCCGGACUGGCCGAGGAGAACCGGCCGGAACACCCGACGCCUCCUGUCCCCCUGCCUUCCUCGCAGAUUCCCCACCCGGAGAUUACUCAGACAUCCUUUUAGGUAAUGAACCGAUAACCCGGAUUAACUUGGUUAAGAAUUUCAACA